UACGGAGGGUGCAAGCGUUAUCCGGAUUCACUGGGCUUAAAGGGUGCGUAGGUGGGGCUGUAAGUCAGUGGUGAAAUCUUCGAGCUUAACUCGGAAACUGCCAUUGAUACUAUAGAUCUUGAAUUUUCUGGAGGUAAGCGGAAUAUGUCAUGUAGCGGUGAAAUGCUUAGAUAUGACAUAGAACACCAAAUGCGAAGGCAGCUUACUACGGGAACAUUGACACUGAGGCACGAAAGCGUGGGGAUCAAACAGG
rnacentral:rRNA from 1 species